CAAACGAUCUGUCAAAAUGAUUCUGUUGUAGUGGCACCACAGCAAACUAAUAACCAACCAAGAAAAUUGAAAAUGAGUGUAACUAUUUCUGAAAACAAUUAGAAAUGUCAUAACCCCCCAGAAGCAGUAGUACUUGGAAUGCUCUGCAAAAACUUGCUCCUUGCAACAGGAUCUGUUGAAAAUCGACCGAGUACUGCAAUUGUAGCUGUAUUACUUCCGAACUUCUCAAUACCUCUAGAAAUCAUACAAGUAUGGUUAGCCUCCACAACUACCAUCACAUCUCCAACUAAAAAUGAUGCAACGGUCUCUGCAAUCUGCCUGGUAAGCCUUUCCUGCACUUGGAGCUUGAAACCAUAAAAAUGGACUAUUGACUGUAGAAAAGAUUUUCCAAUGGGGUUGAAUCCCUCAGCACGGAAGUAACCAAUAUGCACAACACCAUAAAAGGGUAGCAAAUGAUGCUCGCACUGAGACCAGAAUGACAAGUUCAACUCAGAAUGUAUAUGUUCUUUGUUAUGGCUGAUGUCCCCACUGGCUUUAAGGGUAUCUGUCUUGCCACAGCCA
rnacentral:misc_RNA from 1 species